rnacentral:rRNA from 1 species
UACGAAUGGGGCAAGCGUUGUUCGGAAUCACUGGGCUUAAAGCGUAUGUAGGCGGACUAACAAGUCAGGAGUGAAAUCCCGGGGCUCAACCCCGGAACUGCUCUUGAAACUGUAAGUCUAGAAUACUGGAGAGGUUGGGAGAAUUCCUAGUGUAGAGGUGAAAUUCGCAGAUAUUAGGAGGAAUACCAGUGGCGUAGGCGCCCAACUGGACAGUUAUUGACGCUCAGAUACGAAAGCGUGGGGAGCAAAC